rnacentral:misc_RNA from 1 species
CCUUAAACUCAAACAUUGCGGACUGUUCUUCCACUACACGGAGGCUGAGCUCUCCAACUCCUAGCCCUGUGAGGGGAUAUAACUGUGAUGAUGGUGUGCAUUGUGCAAUGUGAUGGACAUAAAAACAGGUACACAAUGAGAAAUAAAACAGAGGAGAAUUUACAUUGUAUAUAGACAGAGGAUUUUGCUGGAGAGAGAUGGCAUUGACAAUUGCACAGUAUAUGGGUAUGACAAUGACCAAAGAACUUCAUUAUCAAUAGGUACAUGUACAUGUGACUUUAUUUAUUCGAGAUUGCAUUGACAAUUUUACAGUGUGUGGACAUGUACGUUUGGACAGUGAUUUCUUCAUUGGAGUUAGAUGACAUUUAAGUAGACUAUGUGCUUUAUUCUGUGAUAAACUGGCAUUUUUAAAUGCAGUAAAGUAUGUAUCAAUG